AGCUCCAAUAGCGUAUAUUAAAGUUGUUGCAGUUAAAAAGCUCGUAGUUGGAUUUCUGGUGCACUGCACCCGGCCCGCCUUCGUUAGAAGUGUGAGUGCUGGUGUGCGGUCGCCAUCCUUCUAGAAAGUGAAUCUACUCUUGACUGAGCUGGGUUCAUGAUCUAGAUCAUUUACUUUGAAAAAAUUAGAGUGUUUAAAGCAGGCUUUUGCUAUGAAUACAUUAGCAUGGAAUAAUAAUAUAGGACUUUGGUCUUAUUUUGUUGGUUUCUAGGACGAAAGUAAUGAUUGAUAGGGAUAGUUGGGGGUGCUAGUAUUCAGCGGCCAGAGGUGAAAUUCUUGGAUUCGCUGAAGACUAACUUAUGCGAAAGCAUUCACCAAGGAUGUCUUCUUUAAUCAAGAA
rnacentral:rRNA from 1 species